GAUGAACGCUAGCGGGAGGCCUAACACAUGCAAGCCGAGCGGUAUUGUUUCUUCGGAAAUGAGAGAGCGGCGUACGGGUGCGUAACACGUGUGCAACCUGCCUUUAUCUGGGGGAUAGCCUUUCGAAAGGAAGAUUAAUACUCCAUAAUAUAUUGAACGGCAUCGUUUAAUAUUGAAAGCUCCGGCGGAUAGAGAUGGGCACGCGCAAGAUUAGCUAGUUGGUGAGGUAACGGCUCACCAAGGCGAUGAUCUUUAGGGGGCCUGAGAGGGUGAUCCCCCACACUGGUACUGAGACACGGACCAGACUCCUACGGGAGGCAGCAGUGAGGAAUAUUGGUCAAUGGGUGCAAGCCUGAACCAGCCAUCCCGCGUGAAGGACGACUGCCCUAUGGGCUGUAAACUUCUUUUGUAUAGGGAUAAACCUACCCUCGUGAGGGUAGCUGAAGGUACUAUACGAAUAAGCACCGGCUAACUCCGUG
rnacentral:rRNA from 1 species